GAACGACGCUGGCGGCAUCGCCUAACACAUGCAAGUCGAACGAAGCCUUCGGGCUUAGUGGCGCACGGGUGCGUAACACGUGGGAAUCUGCCCUUCGGUUCGGAAUAACAGUUAGAAAUGACUGCUAAUACCGGAUGAUGACGUAAGUCCAAAGAUUUAUCGCCGAAGGAUGAGCCCGCGUAGGAUUAGGUAGUUGGUAGGGUAAUGGCCUACCAAGCCGACGAUCCUUAGCUGGUCUGAGAGGAUGAUCAGCCACACUGGGACUGAGACACGGCCCAGACUCCUACGGGAGGCAGCAGUGGGGAAUAUUGGACAAUGGGCGAAAGCCUGAUCCAGCAAUGCCGCGUGAGUGAUGAAGGCCUUAGGGUUGUAAAGCUCUUUUACCAGGGAUGAUAAUGACAGUACCUGGAGAAUAAGCUCCGGCUAACUCCGUG
rnacentral:rRNA from 1 species